GUAUGGUGAUGUCGUACGACCGGGAAAUCAGUGUCGAUGUAGGACAAUUGCUGAAACGCUUGGUCGCCAAAAAUUGAAGAACUCACUUGCUGCUUGUGAGUUGCCUUACAAGGAGAUUUAACAAUUGGGGAAUCUCAAUUGAUGUCCCUUAUAAAGGAAUUAAUUCUGUAAUAAACAGAUUAAAUAAACAAGUUAACUCUGUAAAUCCAGAGUUUAAUUAAAACUAAUCCAAUAUCAAGGAUAUAUGUGUGAUUAUAAAUAACAGAAUGAUGUGCAAGUAAUUAACCCAAAUAAAUAAGAAACUUAAGGAUACAUAUGCAAAAGUUUCAAUAAACAUGUGCGUUGGUAAUUAAAGGAAAGUUCGAGGUUACGAGUGCAAAAGUUUCAAUAAACAUGUGCCGAAGGGAUUAAAGGAAAGCUUGAGGUUACAAACGCAAAAGUUUCAAUAAACAUGAUUUGUGAUUGAAAGAAGCUUGGGGUUAUUAUUGCAAAAGUUUCAAUAAAGAUUGCAACGGAUUAUUUACGCUGAUCAGUUAAUUAGUAGUUAAUGAGUCUGUGUAAAUCUAUAUAAGUAAAUCAUUAUUGUAAACUUUAAUGAAUUCGAUUUAAUACAAAUUACAUCUCAACCAAACCCGGUUCAGAAGACCGGUUUAGUUUGGUUUAAGUCAGUUUCUUCCCAACGGCUACUUGGGGAUUUAACUCCUCUUGCAAUGGCUCUACCGGCGAUCACCGGAGCUCUUGCUGGCUUAACUCCAGCUCCUUCCCCUUCAAGGCCGAGUCGUCGUUCUAACACCUUACAACCAUGAACCAUUCCAGUCUCUGAGAUAUUUGAAUAUUUAAACUUGCUGAUUGUGUCCAACAAUUCCAACAUUGGGAGAGAUUAUUCAACAAGCUCUUCUUCUCUAAUAACCUUCCUUGAUGAUUUAUUAUAUAUUUCUCUCUAUUUAUAUAUAUGUGGUGUGUCUGUAAAGCCAGAUUAUUAUAAAUGGAAAUGUGACCCACAUCUGCCUUUUGCAUAUUUGAUUACAUCAUUUUUAUAGAAAGAGGGAAAUUAUACAGAUACAGUGGAAAUCAUCACUCAUCAUAAUAGUAUAUUGCUGCCAAUGUAGAGCAAAAUUUUGUGACUUGAGAGAGAGACUAGAAAGUUGAGACUAAAACUACACCGGGGUUUGUGUUUUUUGAUCAGAGGUUGUCAAGAAAAAAGCAGAAUCACUGGAGUGGUUAGUUGAUG
rnacentral:lncRNA from 1 species